AUGUGACACGGGGGGGGGAAGUAUAUUUGUAUAUUUUGCUCCUUGAGCCAAACACUGGGACAGAACAAAAGCUGAACAUGUGUGUGAGGGGGUGUGAGAUGAUUGUCAUGUAAGUACAGGAGCUUCCAUUGUAGCUGGGCCUGUGAGAAGACAAAUUGUGGGGGACAUUUGUGAGGCUUGGGAGGAUAUGGCUGGUACAAUUGUAUAAUCUGUAUACUAUAUACACACACUCUUGUACUGAAGCCAUGAUCUGAUUUUGUCAUUCCAACUACAGCUCACACAAAGGAACAGCACUGAGAAGUGACCCCAAUGCAGACAAUGGCGGCACCGGAAGGGGCGGGGCAUGAGAAGAUUACCUCAGACUGAACCGGAUGUUGGGGAGAAAUGGCUUCCCUGCCUCAGCCCCUCACUCCUAAGCUGUGUGGGACAAGUAAUGGUGAGGGGAAACAUAAAUGUGUCAACUUGUGAGCUAUAAAAGGGGCCGUUCCUUUGUGUAGGGAGGGGGUGAAACAGGCGCAGCAGGUCGGUAAGUGCAGUAGAAACUGCUGGAGAUUUGCCCACAGUCAGCGAUAGAGAAUGGACCCUGGAGCCACACCCGCUGCAAGCUCCUCCCACACUCACUGAGCCUUAGCGCUUAAAUGCAGCUUUUUUUAUACAAAAUAUGAGCUAAUCAACAGUGUUUGGGGUUUUGUAGUGCAACCGCGCCGCUAAUACUGACGUGUAGAGAAAAGAACUACAUUUCCCAGAGUGCAGCAGCAGCAGCGGCGCAAGAGAAAGGAAGUGUCACGUGGCACGUCAGAUCCAAUCCAAUGGAAGCUUGCUCCCUGAGGGAGGAUAGAAGACGGAGCUUCUCACACAGCGGUGUCUCGGGUGUUAGCGAGGAACUAGUUACGGUUUGUGCGGGGCUGUGUGUAGCUCAAGGUCACUUCCAGCUCAGUCUCCCCACGAGGAGCCAAUGGGAAUGUGGGAGGAAGCGAGUGACACAGGGAUGAAGGGAAAGGAGAAUAAAAACGAGCGGAACAAGAGAAUCGUGAACCUCACACUGGAGAUGAUCUAUCUGCUGACUGGAGAGCACUACAUCCCUAGGAAGAAGUCAGAUGAUGGGGGGGCCCUGCAUGCCCCUGGCUCCGUC